GGUGGGCCCGGCACGGGGCCCCCGGACGAGUGCGCCGUACCCGGACAGCGACAAGACGGCGUCCA
rnacentral:ncRNA from 1 species